AAAAUAGAUAAAAUUAAGCUUCUAACUUAAUAAAUAAUAUUUAAUUAAUAUUACUAUUUUA
rnacentral:tRNA from 1 species